rnacentral:sRNA from 1 species
CAGAGGACACCCUUGGAUGUGACUCUGGGAGCCAUCUACCUUGCUCUUCUGACAGGAUGUGGAACUUGCUGGCUAGGCUGCACUAUAUGGCCAGGGAACCUCAAGCGCCUGCCUGUCUCUCCCACGUUGGCACUGGGGUUAUAAACACAGUGAUCCAUUUCUCUAUGGGAGUUGGAGAUCGAACUCACCUUCUCACACUUGCAAGGCAAAUGCUUUAACCACCAAGCCAUCUACCCAGGCCUCUGGCCCCGUUUUUAAAUGGCCUUAUUCCUUUGUGAUUCGUUUGUAUUUCUGUAUAUCUGCUAAUCUUAUACACCUUCUAAAGAUGAUAAUCAUUGGGAUUAGGGCUAAGACUAAUCCACUAUGACUUUAUUUUGAGCAUCUGUCACUGCAGUUGGAGUCUCAAAUAGCUUUGGGGGAAUAAUAAAUAGUCUUAGAAAAGUACAAAGAAAAGUGGAAUUGGGGGGAAUAAAGGAAGAACUUUAUCAUAAAUUCACCAUAAAUUCAUCACUUGCAUUUGCUUUCCUCUUGCAGGCACAUGCUCACAGACUAUACUUAAGCUAAGGCAGCUACGAGGUCAUAAUCAUAUCUGUGCUCUUUCACUGGCUGAAACAUCUACAUAUGGCACCUGACUGCUCCAAAUCUGGCAGUGUGAUACAGUGAGGGAGCCUGGUGUAAAUCCUGGUCCUGCCACUUGAUGAGCGUAUCACGGACGAGGUCAAUGUAGUGGUAUGAUUUGGAAUGUAUACUCUGAUCUUAAGUGGAUCAGGUGUGUGAACUUGGCCUUUAUUGGCUGGCAACAUUCAUCUUUGGGGAAGAGACCAUGGGAAAAGAAGAGAAUCAAGAGAAUCGGGUCAUGCUUGAAUCUCACUGAGAAAGCAAAAUAGACAUCAGGAACCUGCAAGGAUGAUGUCAGCGAAGACUCCUAGCAACGUGGGACAAGGAACCGGACAACACUUCCAGUGGAGGGCUGGGGCACCAACUCAGCCACAAAACUUUCGACCCACACAUUGUCCUGCCUACAAAUGUACAGAGGCAUUUGGAAUUGGAAAGAAAGAGCUGUAACAGUGUCUCUGCUUUCCAGUUACAAGAAGGACAUUAAGAGAUAACGGAUCAACUGUGGAAGGAUGCUGGUGUUCUAAAUGUCAGCAGAGCCACGGCAGCACAGAAACCUAAAGGCAACACAUUCCAGAGAAGGCACCACCUUUCAAAAGCUACCACGGAAGUCAACAUGGUUAGUCGAUACCCACGGAUCAGCUGUUAAGAACCUUCCUGAAGGCUGUGUCUCAAGUUUUCCCUAAUUUCAUCCUUACUCUUAUGAAAUAAAUGGACUCAUCUCAUUGUUGGUCGAAAGUUAAUGAGGCAGACCUCCAACGAAGCCCAGUGUUAAAAUGGCAGCAAUUUCUUAAAGAGAAGAUUGGCCAAAGAGAUGGUUCAGUGGUUAGGAGCACUUACUGCUCUUGUAGGGGGCUCCUAGUACCCACACAUUGGCUCACAAACAUCUGUAAUUCCAGUCCCAGGAGAUCUGGCUUCUGGAGGCAUCAGUCAUGCAGACGGAGCACAGAUACACAUGGAGGCAAACGCACAAAACAAAAAUAAAACU